UUGAGUGGGAAUAAUAUAUAAGAGUAACUUAGGCUAAGAAUCCUUGAUUUAACAGCAUUUCUGUUAUUAUAAAAGGUUAAAAAUCAUUCAAAAUUGAUUGGUUCCUCACCAAAAACCCCACCAGAAAUAUUUCUGAUGGGAUUUUUU
rnacentral:sRNA from 1 species